AUGACCAGAGCCGAAGGCAGAUGCUUAACCAACUGAGCCCCCCAGGGCAGCGGCUCCUGCUUUCAGCCCCGGAAGUCACAGAAGUCUCUGAUCUUUCUCUUUCCCAUCACCACAUGCCUUCCAUUUUGUUUCACAAGGUUCUCUCUGGGAAAGUUUAUGGCACUGAAACCAGAGAGAUGGGAUUUCCACUUACUAAAAUGAGAAGCCCUAUUGGAACAUCAGGUUUGGAAGAUCAGGUGUUUGUUUUGGGGAGAUGUGCCUUCAGUUUUGGACACAGAAUGUCUGUGAUGGCUAUUUGCAAUCCUAGCAGAAAUGUCAAGUAGACAGCUAGAAUUUGGGGCUGACGUUGGGAAUUGUCUUAUACAUGGAGUAUUGGAAAGCUCCAGUUCUAGGAUUUGCAAAGUCAAACAGGCAACAACAAGAGAGCUCCAAGGGUGAGCUUUCAUACAGACAGAGAAGAUGUCCUUGGGCAAAGUCUAGUGGCCCCACAGUGUUCAGAGGUCAGGGAGGUAGGAAAGAACCAUCAACGAAAUUUAGAUGAGUGAUCAGUGAGGAAGAAGGAAACACAGAAAGUGGGAUAACCCGAAAGCCAAAUGAAGGAAGUGUUUUGAGGGAAUGACCGACCACAUGAAAAUGGCUGUUACACCAACGUGGGAGAAGAUGCUUUUAGAGAGGAAUGAGGACAAAACCUGUCGUCUUCCACCAGCUGGGAAUGGCGUGCUAUUGUCUGUUCUGACUUUGCAAAUCCUAGAAUUUUUGGACUCUCUCUGUGCCUUUUUAUUCCUGCUUACAAGUGGAAAUUCUUUUCUCAGCUAAUCUCUCUUGAAACGCUUUGUCAAAUAUAUUCAAUAACAAGCAGCUCAUGCUAUUAACCUUCUGUUGUCUAAUUAUUUCCCAUACAAGUACCAUAUGAUUAGGCACAUGGACACUCUCUAAGGUUUUCAGACAUGACUGCUUCCCAACUACUGUGCUCCUUCAUCACGUGGCUCGCUAUCUCUCUCUCCAGCUUGUAAUGUGAUUUUCCUUACUGCUUCUUUAAGCCAAUGCUAUGCUAAGAUUUAUAUUUUAAGGUUUUUAGCAUGAGAAUGAAUCAGAUGCUAGGCAAUCCCCAAAUUCCAAUGGCCUAAAGAGCAAGAAUUUAUUUUUCACUCAUAGAAAGCCCACUGCAUGUUUGGGACUCUGCUCCUGGGUCACUUCUCCAUGUCCUGGCUCAGCCUGGCACCUUCACACAUGCCCAGGGCAGUAAAGGCCUUGUUGGAAAGAUGAAAACAGGUAACUAAGUUCUUCCAGUAGGAAGUUGCACGCACCACUCCCAAAGCAAAACCAGAUGGCCAGUUCCAGUUUCUAAGCCUUAAAGUAGAGGGAUAGGAUUUAGUAGCAAAGCCCGACUCAGUACAUAAAUCAGUGUAAAGCCACAUGAAUUUACUUUUUAUCUUCUUGCAUAAUAUCCAACUAAUUUUUCUGUAGAAACUGUUUUAUUUCAUUCCUGGACCUGGUACUCUAAAGACAUAAUAGCUAGUGUGAUAUGAACAAGCAGGGUUUUUCAGUCAAACUUCAAUAAUCCUCUUAGAGGGAAAAAUGUACUUCAUUUGGCUUUAUGAUUUGAACUCUGUCCUGAAGUAAUUCAUGCCAGUUGUUAGCAGAACCUAGAAAUAAAACCAUACCGGUUGUCACCUAAACCCCGGUCUCUUACUGAUGCCAUGUUUUUUUUUUCCCAAGGCCUCACCUUUGUUGUUCUAUUUUAUGUUUUUACAAGCUUGCACUGAAACAGCCCCUGUUUUUAGCUGCCGUUCCCCUCACCUCUCUUACCUUCUCAAUACUGCUAUUUGUUUGUUGUUGGUAUUGUUAUUCUGACAAAGACUAACACGCGUUUCUGUAAGUACUUUAGGUAGAAUUGACAGCACCAUAAAGCAGCCAUAUCACUCUUGAUGUGAACAUACUUAAACACCGUUGAUCUAGCAUUACCUGAGAAUGAGUUAUUUUGCCAUUAGUAAAUCCAGGUGUUGGUCAAGGAAACUCUCUCCACUCCGUUAGCUAAAGAGGAACUGGCAGGAGUGACCAACCCCAUUAAAGAAAAUCCGUGUCUUCUAUGGGAUUUUAUUUCUACUCAUAUAUUUGUAGUAGAUGAGGAAAGAUCAGCACAAAUAAAAGUGGCUUUGUUUGGCCAACAGACACAUAGAAAAGUGCCCAACAUCACUCGGCAUCAGGG